CACUGUUGUGUUCCGGUCUUUGUUCUCCGAGGAUUAAUUAUCAGUAGAUCGCUUCCUGCCACUACAUACCUCAGGGCCCAGACAGCCGAAAGCUGAACAGUAGUCGUCAGGAACUGCAACUCAAAAGGGGAAAACAUGCUCCCCAGUUCUCCUUAAAUUGUGGGGAGGGUACAGGGAGGGAGAAUUUUAGAACCUGCCUUCUCCGUGCCUGAGGAAGACAGCUCAGAAUAAUUACUAGUGUCUUAAAUAAGAAACAGGAAGAAACGGGCUCCACAGAGAGUUGCUUCACUCUGCCACAAACAUUUGGUACUUAUCUUUUAACUCCAGACCCAAAGAGGAAUUUAUACAGAGCUGAAAAAAAAAAAAAAAAAACAAAUGGGGCCAGGCCUGCUUUAAAAAGCAAAGUUAGAACCCACUGGUUUCAGACCCAUCUGCCUCCCUUUUCUCUAGAAACAACCCUAGAAUGUUCCAGAAGGUUUAAUGAGGAUGCAUUUCUGCACUGUUUCCUCUCCCUCCAGAUAGAUACAGCAUAUUUAACCAAUCUAGUUUACAGAGGAAAUUCAGGUUUUUUUUUCCUAGCUCGCUUUAUCCAACUGUAACUUAGGGAUCAUAAAUAUGUUUAUGUCUCGUGGGGAACAUUUCUCUUGUGCUGCAUUUUGAAGAUGCUGUCCAGAUGUGAGAGGGUUUUAUCCUUCCCACCUCUGAGACUCCCUUUGAGCAAGAACAUCGCAGUGGAACGUGGGUCUCUCCCAAAUCCCCUGACAUAGCUACGGUUACCAUUGCUGUGCUGAAACCUUGUGACUAAAGCAACGUGGGGAAGGAGACAUUUAUUAGGCCUACGCUUCCCAAUCACUGUUCGUUAUUAAAGGAAGUCAGGCGAAGAGUUGGAACAGGGCAGGAACCAGGAGGCAGUAGCUGAUGCAGAGGUCAUGGAGGGAAAAGGAACAAAGGGACCCAGUGAUCCUACAAAUCCACUUUCAGGGUCCUAACUGAACAGAUUCAGACGCUGGAUAUGCUGUCUGGCCUUAUGUCAACUUCACAAAUGCUAGAGUCAAAUGAGAGGAUGUACUCAAUUGAGAAAAAGCCCCAUUAGAUCAGGUUGUAGGCAAGCCUCUAGGGCAUUUUCUUCAGUAGUGAUUGUUCAGGAAGGGCCCAGCCCACUGUGGGUGGUGCCACCCCUGAGCAAGCCGGUAAGCAUCUAUUAAACCUCCCCUUUUUAACUUUUCAUUGUUAAUUUGGCUCUUCUGGGCAACUGGUGGCUGAGUCUGGCUUGUUGGGGGAUAACCUAUAACCCUAAGUCCGGGGAUAACAUAGCAGCAGGCAGGGGUAUAAGGAUGGCUAGUCCCAUUGAAUCCAUACCCAGGAAACAGUGAAGGGGAGUGGGUCAGGGUUACUGAGUCUCAAGGUGACCCUGAGCACCUCCAGUGAGUGCCUUCCAUUUCCCGUUCAAAUCACAGCAAAACCUGAGCAAAUAAAUGCUACAAUUACACGCCAUAAUGCCUUUGUACAUACAUAGUAUGAGGAAUUAAGAUACCCACACAGUAUCGAUGUUUUGUUACAUUUGUAUUUCUCUCAAUAUUGAGUCUAUAACAAAUAGUGACAACUUUAAUUGUUUGCACUUAAAUACCAAGUAAGGUUUUACUGAUCAGUGGGGAGAGAGUGAGGCAGUAGUCAUUACUUUUGUUGCAAAUGUCCAAUGAGUAAAUGGCUGGAUAUUCAGAUGAGUAAGGUUGGAGAUCAGAUGUACACCAUGGUCACCAUACUGGGCAGAGUGGACCGAGUUUUGGGUGUAAGCUCAUGUGCAUAGAUGGCAAAUGUGUGCCCUGAUAGAAUUACUACCACCAAUUAUCCCUCAAUUAAGCCGGGGAAAGCUAUGGGGGUGGCAUGUGUUUAUUUACACGUGUGUGUGUUUGCCUGCAAAGUCUGUGCGCCAUGUGCAUGCAGUGCUCCUGGAGGCCAGAAGAGGGCGAUGGAUCCCCUGGAACUGAAAUUACAGAUGAUUGUGAUUCGUCAUGCUGGUGCUGGGAGCUAAACCCAGGUUCUCUGGAAGAGCAGGAAGUGCUCUUAGCUGCUGAGCCGUCAUUCCAGCCCCACAGAAAGUGUUUGUAGUCUGAGUUCUGGCUAAGCAAAGACAGGCAGAUCCUGGAGCUCAGUGCAAGAUGUUAUCUCAGGCCCUCCUGCCCGUACAGAUGUCAGGGGGUGGUCAACAUUAGAUUCCUACUCUUUUGUGACCUUUGUCAUCUUUUUGGUGCAUGUGUCUCCCCAAAAGUGGCCUUAGGUUGAAGGAAUGGGUCUUCCUCUGGCUGAUGGCAUCAGAGCCCUUCCAACCACAGUAGGCAGGUUCUGCAGGAACCUGGGAGUUUCUGCACCAUUAGUUCUUAGCUGGGAGUGUCUGCUUCUCUUUGCUUCCCUGUCCCAGCAUGCAACCAGGGCACAGAUUUUGCUGGCCUCUUAUCAAGGUCCAGAUAUCAGAACAAAAGGGAAGUAGAGAAAGUGAACUUAAGGUCCAAUCCCAAGUCUAACGGUGCGGGCUCUCCUGAAGGGUCCUUUCCGCUGCUCUUGGGAAGCCAUAGUCGGCAUCUCCCUUUGCCCGCAAGGACUAACUGAUUGACACUGGGAAAGGAAGGAACACAUUUCCCUCACUCAGAAAAGCAGGGGGCCGUGAAUCACCGCUCUGAUUCAGCUCUCUGAAGCAAUUCUAGUUUCCAAACCAAGGCUUCACUUCUUCCCCGAGAGAUGGAUUUAAUUAGAAGUUCCCUCCUCCCCCUAAGAACUGCUGAGCGCCUUUCUUGAUUUAUUUUCAUGCAAUGCAGGGUGUAUUUUUGGUGUUUUUCCUAAAAUAAAGAAAGAGUUGCCAGAGGCAGUGUUAAUCUUCCAGGAGAUGAUGGAAAGCUGCUCGGAGACAAAACAACAACAACAACAACAACAAAAAACAAAAAAACAAAAACAAAACAAAACCGAACCCCCACCCAUCACCUUCCUGAAGCCCCAGGCCACUGUCGCCUCAACCAAAGGACCACAUCCUUCUGCAAACUUCAAAAAGACAACCAUAAUUUCCACUUCAAGGAGAUGCACUCUUGUCAGGAUGGGCUCCGUCCCGCUGCAAUAACAAACAUCCCCCAGAUGUUUCUGCCUAAACUACAGUGGUUUGUUUGUUCCUCACUGCUAGUCCACACCCCACGAAGACAGGUCAAGAUCUGCCCUCAAUAAAGCUGUGUCCACCGCACUUUCUUUGAGACCCCUGACUGUCUCAACUUGCAGGUCAUGGUGUGUACAUGGAGUGGAGGACUCUAACCCUUCCUCACCAAUCAAAUCUGCCCCGGAAGUGGCAAAAGUGACUUCCGUCUCCACCCAUUCAUCAGAACUGGUCCCUGGGUCUUACCCAAAGACCUGGCAGGCAGGAAGUACAAGCCACCUUCCCCUGUGGCUUAGAGGAGUUGACAGUUAUUGACAAUGGUGACUGCAGCAUUCCGGAUAAACAUUUGCUGGCUGGACGGCGCUUCCCCCUCCCCCAUCACAUCUGUGUUUUCUCUUAGUCUCUUCUUGAAACCUUGGGUUAACAAGGGUUUCUAGCAACAGCGACACGUGCUAUUUUCCAAUCUGUGACUGUCCUUGAUAGCACUUGCUUUGUGUUAUUUCUAUUCCCAGGGACCUGACCCUGUGUUUUCGCAUCUAGCUUUGAGGACACCCUGAAGAGUGAAGACUAGACCCACACCAGAGCCAUCCACCACCUCUAGGGAAAAGGUGGCUUCACCUUAGAGUCUGUCCUGGGCUCACACUUUGUUUCUUUCUCUAAUUUCCAUGUUUUUUAUUCCAGAUUCCCAGCAUUCCUGUCAAGGGCGCAUGUCCUCUCCUGUCCUGAACUUUUUAACUCUGGGGCCUCUGGGGCUAAAUAAGUGUCACACCCAUGGCUGGAGUUAAUGUUAGAGUUAGGAAGAGUCCAGCUCCUGGGUGUGUUUUUUGUGGCUUAUGAUUGCUAUGCAUAUCAUAGGGUGUUAGUAACCACAGAGACAAGACGUUGUAGCACCAUAUAAUGUGAGUGCACAAAGACACACACACACACCUAUACACAAUAUAUACACACAGAGAAACACAUCUAUAUAAACACAUAUACAUACAGACACACCUAUAUACACACCUAUAUAAACACACACAUACACCUAUACACACAGACACAUACAUACACAUUCAUACACACCAGACACCCACACCUAUAUAAACACAUACACAGACACACACACACCUAUACACAUACACCUAUACAUGCACAUACACACACACAUACACACAGAGACACACACACCUAUAUACACACAGACACAGACACACAUAGACACACACACUUAUAUACACAUACACACAUAUAUACAUAUACAUACACACAUACAUACACAUAUGUACACACAUAUACCUAUACACACAUACACACAUAUAUAUAAAUACACACACAUAUACAUACACAUAUAUACCUAUACACAUACAUAUAUAUGUGUACAUACACACAUAUGUAUACACACAUAUAUACAUGUAUACACACAUACACACACAUAUACAGAGUGAGAUCAAUUAUAACUAAAUCUUUAUGUUUGAAGGUAUAUAUUUAUCAGAGUUAAAUUUCCCACAGUGAAAUAGCUCACCAUGAGAAAAAAUUAUAUUUAUGUGAAAAUCACUUUUCUUAGACCCAUCUAGAGAAGCAUAGGGUUGUCUUUGCAACAGAGAAUAUAGUGGAUUCAGGAGACAGACUUUAUAAAGCUUCAAAAGCAAGCCAUGUGGCAGAGGAGGGCAGAUUUUAAACUAUCUUAGGUUGGGCCAACUUUCUAGGUUAAGAUCAAAACCCAAACAUGACUGAACCAGCAUAUGCAGACUUCUUUACAAAACAUAUGUGGGUAACAUUAUCUUUUUGGAGAGGUUAUGGGUAGUGACUUUCUUAUAAAUACAAUUAUCUAGGAUUAUGGCUCGAUCCUGGCAUUACCAGUAAGGUUUAGACAUACUGAGAGGAAAGUUUUGCUGUGUGUGUUACAGCUCUAGUUCACAGACCCUGGCAGUCCAGGAAGUCAGCAGUGUCUCCACCCCUCUCCCCUCCCCUGUCAGGGAGUUGAUCCUGUAGCAAAGCACAAAGACUCCUCCACAGACAAGAAAAAGUGGUCAGAGUUUGUAAGACUGACCCUAAACUGAACACAAUUAGCCCUUUACAAAGGUGGUCUUAUUAUUUAUUUAUUUUUUUGGCUUUUGUUUUCCUCUGUGCCACAAGGUGGCAGUGAACACAUUCUCAAAUAACCAUCUGCUUCAGUUAAAAUGAAGUGGCAAAGUUUGAUUUGAUCUGUAUCAGGAAUGGAAGCUAUUGAACCCAGUAUGAACACAGUGGAAGACCGUCAGGGUUGCUACGGGAGGGUCUCUCCCAAUCAGCUUCCUUAACCUUCAGGAGGGACAUGGAAAUGACCCGUAGCCAUGUGGCUGGACUUCCUGCCAUGAAGUUCUGUCUUCCAUGGUAGGCUCUCUGGCUGAGGUCACAGAAAGGGCUUUUCUCCUCUGCUACCGUCCUGAGGUUAUGUCGGGGUAGAUAAGGGGGACCCUUCAGCCUUUAAGGUUGGAAGCACAAUGUGCUACUAGAACGAACGGUUUGAAACAUUCAUGAGCACCGUGCUGAGCACAAGGACUCAGAGAGGCCCGAGCACUAACUUCAGGCCAUUCCCUUUUGUACCUAGAAGGACAACUCCCCUGUGUCACAGAGUGCACCUCAAUGCUUACAUCGGUAUGUCUCAAAAUGUAGACGUUAUGUCUCUGCAUACUCCGGACAAGCGGAGGCAUGCUGGUGACUUCACGGCCAUCUUUUCUGACUAUUAAUAUUUUCUAAAUUGAGGGGAGUGGGACAUCUCUAAACAAGGAUCCAUACUCCCUCUCUUCGGGCCUAGACCAAUUGUAUUAUUUUGUAGGAAUUAUUCAGGAAGGUGUCGUGUCCCCCCGCCCCUUAGCUCCAGGAUCUGAAUUAUGUCUCUCCCCUGAAAGGGUUGGGUCAGGUGCUUGACAGCAGAACAUCAGUAAGCCUCCAUUGGAAUGCCAGCUUCACCUCAGGUCCCCAGGCACCUCGGAAGAGAAAAGCCACGUUGUGCCCCUGAGGAGUGAAAGCUGUUUCUUCACGAGCCAGUUGCCAGCCUCUUUUGUGGCCUCAUGGGAAAUCUGAGAGUACAGUUGAUGAGGAUUCUAUCUGAGGUUUUAUCUGGAUCCUGGGUAAGAGUGUAGCUACCCAUGUCUUUGAUUUUAAAGGUUUUUUUUUUUUUUUUUUUUUUUUUUUUUUUUUUUUUUUUUUUUGAGGCUUUGCUAGGUAGCCGAGGCUGGCCUCAAGACGAUAAUCCUCCUGCCUUGCCCUUCUAAGCACUGAGAUUACAGAUGUACACUACCAUAUCCUGACUAGUGAGGGCUUCAUGGAGUAAAAAUGUUUACUAAUUUUCCUUGCCAGGGACUAUGAGCUGUGUUUAUCCUCUGACUGCAGAAUGAUUCAUUGCUGAAAAAGAACAAGCACCCUCUUCACACAGAGAGGGAGGGGAUCCUAAACACUUGGUAUCAAUGCCAAUAUGACAUGCUCUGAGGGUUUUCUAGUCUCUUCAGUUUGCUCCUUAGGAGGCAUGACCCACAGAGGACACGGCCAUUUUACAGAUGGGGAAGACUGAGGUGGCGAAGCAAGAGGCUCGUCUGUCAUUGCGCUGAGCUCCAAUCUUUGUCUACUUCCCUGGAAUGCUUGUGUGGCAUAUAAUUCGCAACUGGUGCAGCUUCUCUCUUUCUCUCUCCGAUCUUCUUUAGUAUUGGGUGUACAGUGCUUAAAUGAGUUGACUGUAGCAUUGAGCAGUGGCAGAUAUUUGAGUGUUCAAUGAGUGAACGGGACAGAUACGCUGGGUCUCCCUGAAGCAUUGCAUCGUGGUUGGGAUCCCCACAACAGCAUGUUCAGAGCAGAGCAGGAAGUUUCUGGGCCGUCAUAGCUCCCACCGGACUGUGUCCUUUCCCAGAAUGUUAUGUUCUGUUGGUUGGCACAGCUCUCAGUCAUUUUUAGUCUUAUAGCACUGACUACGCAUGUACCUACAGAUGUAUGCUUGUUGGAACCCUAGCAAGGGGAAGCCAGUAACCGUAGUUCUCCAUGCACUGGGCAUCUUUAAGGGAAGGCAUGUGGUGGCAGCGGCCACAGGAGGAUUCUACUGUGGUUUCCUUGCAGACCUUGGCUUCCGAUUGAGACACUGAAGGAGACUGUCUUUCUCUCCCUUUCAAGUGGACUCAGGGGCAUCGUUAGUUAGUAAAGAGGGAGAGUCUCUGGCAGGAUGGAGGGGGUCAGGCCUGAGAAGUCCCCUUUUCAGUUAUCUGAGGUGGGAAGCAGUUUAUUUCCUUCUGUAUUUUCCAGAGCAUCAGGCACGUUAGGCUGGCCCUGUCAGCAUAGGUUCCUGACUAAUCUAUGGAGGUUGCUGAUAAGAUAAUGCCCAGUUUGGUCUAGACCCGGUGUGAGUAUGGGAGUAGGGGAGUGGCUUCCUAGAUAAGCCAUGGAGGGCCGCUCCUGGGUCUUCUGGGUAUUAGCGUUGUUUUUCCAGCACAACUGUGAAAACAGAGCGAUCCCCUUUGCUCCCUCAGCAGAGCCUGCUCCUCGGUCUCUGCCCCUGUCCCCACAGUUCUCGUCCUCCAAGGGUGGCUUGAGGAUUAUGCCCAGCUACGUUAAGCCCCUCAAACAAGCAUGGUUCAUCACCUACAGUUCUCUAUUUUAACUUAAAACCUUCUGCCUUUCUUUAAUCAUUGGUGGGGAUGUAUGUAUAUUGUCUGUUUAGAGGGAGGCGAGUGAACAGGUGGGACCCUGCCAUACCAGGACACUACCCCUGCAGCCAUGCGGCGAGUGUGGCCUGCCGUGCCCUGGCUUCUGAAUUCUCACACGCUGAACUUUUACUGCAUGGACGGUUGACGCGCUGAUCAAUGGAUCCUGGCAGCUAUAAAGAUUUUAUGGCUGUCUGUGACAAUAUGACUCCUAGGCCCCUGGAGGAGUCCAUGCAGACAGGGGCCUCCAGAGGAGGAGUUUUAUUCCUGGGGGGAGGGGGUGCAGCUCCCAGAGGGCAGAUCAAAACCAGGUGAGGGGUCGAGUUACUCACACUGGGGCUUCAUACUGUAGAAGGCAGAAAGGUGCCAGAUGCCCACCAGUGUCCCCAGGCUGAGAGUGCUUAUCUGUUCUCAGUUGUUGGGACAAUUCUAAGGAUAAUUCAACUACCAUUCCUUUGGGGACACUGAUGGCAAAGGUUGGUGGCUUGCCUAACACUUUCUAAUUCUCCUGCUCUCUCUCAGUGUCUGAGAAAGUAGUCCUGGAACUCUGAUCAGGCUGAUGGCCCCCCGUAGAAAAGCAAGACCCAGCUGUGAAUUUAUUUUGUUAGAAACCUCAAUUCUUUUCUGACUGACCCCUGUGAACGCUUGAGGUGUGUACUUAUUUUUGCUCUGAAUUGAAAAACAGUGAUGACUUUGUAAUGUCUGGUUUUUGGUGUGCUGUCUCGACUGGAGGGCAGGGUCGUGAGUGCCAGACACCAGGAAGGAGUGAGAGGUGUGUGUGUUCGAGAGGCACCCUGAGCAUUGCAUCAUGGGAGCUUGCUGGGUUUUCUCUUGGAAACCACAGAGAGAGAUCUUUGAAAAUUAGUCUUUGAGCCGGAAAGGGGCAGCUGAUGUUAUGAGUUUCCAGUGGCCGGUUAGCAUUGCCACAGUCACGGACAUCUCUGUUUGCCUACCCAAAGGCUUACAGCAAAGCAACCCACAAGCCAUGCGUUCUGAGGAGGUUUCCUCUUUGUUCUAUGGAACUCAAGAGUAGAAGACGUAGAAGAAGUGUCCUGUUCAGUAUUAGACGUUGUAAUUGUUGAGACAGCUAAAGUCUGUAAUCAUUAUGUAGCCCAGUCUGGUCCUGAACUCAUGAUCUUCCUGUGUCAGCCUUUCAGGUCCUGGAAUUACAGGUGGGAACCACAGAGCCCCGCUUUGCACCUUCUGGAUCUUUCUGUCUGUGUGUGUUUCUCACACACCUGUACUGUGUGAAUGGUUUUGGUUGAGUAGGGACAUAGUGCUGUGAAUUUUAUGAAUGUAUGUAUGUGGUGUAUGUACGUGUGUAUGUAUGGAUAUGUGUGUAUGUGCAUAUGUAUGUGUGUAUUCAUGUGUGUGUUGCACAUAUGCAUGUGUGUAUGUAUGUGUAUGCACAUAUGUAUGUGUGUAUAUGUGUGUAUGUGUGUAUGUAUGUAUAUAUGUAUGUAUUGAUGUAUGUCACACACCACAUCCAACAGGUAACAUGAUGAACUUCUCUGCAAUGUGGCUCAAGACUCUGUAAUUUAUAGUCAUGCCACCAAUGUUGGGUCAGGGUGUCAAGUCCUAUGGUUCCUCUUGGUGGCAUUCUCUUGGGGAUCCAGCUUGUGCCACAUUAUUCCUGGCUUGCAUGUGGCAUCCUGACUGUGUAUAAAUAACAGGUUCCUUUUGUCUCAUGCUUUGAAAAGAGAGCAGUGAACGAAGAGGUCUGAGCACACUAGAGAAUGUGCAGUGGGCUACUUGGUCCCCAGGCUGAGAGGCUUGCUUGUUAUUUCCUUGUUAUUGUAACCAUCUAGCACAGGGCCUGGCAAGCAGCAGGCAUCUCAUCAGUGCAUGAAUGCUGUGAGGGGAAAAAAAAAAUCACAAUAGGUUCAUCUUGGGAAACAUGUGCCAAACUAUGGGAAUUUAAAUAUUGUGUGUGUGUGUGUGUGUGCGUGCGCGCACACAUGUGCAUAUGUGUGCACAUGCAUGAGUGUAGGUCAAAGGACAUCUUGUGGGAGUCAGUUUUUCCCUUUCCUCAUGCGGGUCCAGAGACUGAACUUAGGCUUGGCAGCAAAUACCUCUAUCAGCUGAGGCAUCUCACCAGCUGAAGAACUUUUAAUGUUCAAAGAUUAUGGGGUGUAAUGUCGGGGACAAUUAAAAUAUGUUACCUUUAUUAACACAUUUGAUCUCUGCAAUAAUCCCUAUAGUAAUUAUAUUCUAAUCUCUGCCUUUUAGGCGGGGAGACUGACUAUAUUUGGGGCUGGAUAGACUGUCUAAGUCGGUGACGGGAAGAAUUGGAUGGCAUCACUCUGCCCAGGGACUGUGCCUUUAACAGCAUCACCCAAAUGCUUUCGAAGUUAGAUACUAUCAACACACAUCUCACUGCCUGUUCAGGGGGAGAAUUACAGGUAAAGAGCAAUUCAUUUAAAAAGUUGGCUUCUACGGAACUCGGGUAGCUCAGUGGUUGAGAGCUGCUCCUGCAGAGGACCCUGGUUGGGGUUUGGGUCCCAGCGCCCACGGAUCUUAUGCCCUCUUCUGGUCUCUGCAGGAACUGCACACAUGUUGUGCACUAACAUACGGACAGGAAAAUACAAUAAAAUAGAGGGAAAAAAAUCAGUCUUUUAAAAAUAGGCUUUUAGUUUCAAGCUCUUUCUAGAUUUGAAGGAAAUGUGUGGAAUUUAGUUUGGCUGUUGGGAAGAGCAGACUUAGUCCGUGGAGCACGCCAAAGCGCCGGAAUCUCGGCUCCAUUAAUUUCCUGUUUCAUGUUCUACACAAAACACUCCUGACUGCUUUGUCCCCAGCCACACAGUCAAUGACAUUGGGUGGUCAGCCUUUGCCCAGAGCCUAACCAAAGAUGUUUCAGAGCCGUUUUGAUUAUGUUUUUUGUGGAGCCCCCCCGGGGGGGUCCCAUGACUGAUUCCCACUUUUAUGUGACGUCUUGAGAGCUGGGUGGGUGUUGAUUUCUAGGUGGUCAGCCUGUAACGUGAUGAGUGAAGACAAAUUCGAAGAUAAAGGAUUGUGAACUUGAGACGUGGCUUCGGUUUCUCAGUCACCCCCUCAGCAUGCUUGUCUCAAACGAAGCAGUGUCAAGAUGUGUGAAUAAAGUGAAUGGCCAAUUCCACAGAGUGUGUAUGGCAGGUGUGUAGACCUCCCCGCGACCCCCGCUCCGGCCCCUGCCUCUCUGUACUUCUUUCUUUCUUAGUAAAAACAAGUGCUUUUAUCACUGUACUUGAAUGCAGGGUGAACUGCUUGAGAGUCUGUCCAGCUCAGGCCUAAGGCUUUGAAAUAUUAAAAGGUCUCAGUGUGAUUAUUUGGGAAAAAGGUGGUUAAGAAAUUGUGGUGGUUUGUAUAUGCUCAGCCCAGGGAGUGGCACUAUUAGAAGGUGUGGCCAUGUUGGAGUAGGUGUGGCCUUGCUGGAGUAGGUGUGGCCUUGUUAGGGUGGGUGUGGCCUUGUUGGAGUAGGCGUGGCUUUGCUGGAGUAGGUGUGGCUUUCUGGAGUAGGUGUGGCCUUGUUGGAGUAGGUGUGGCCUUGUUAGGGUGGGUGUGGCCUUGUUGGAGUAGGCGUGGCUUUGUUGGAGUAGGUGUGGCCUUGUUGGAGUAGGUGUGGCCUUGUUGGAGUAGGUGUGUCACUGUGGGUGUGAGCUUUAAGACCCUCAUCCUAGGGGUUGGGGAUUUAGCUCAGUGGUAGAGCGCUUGCCUAGCAAGGGCAAGGCCCUGGGUUCGUCCUCAGCUAUGGGAGGGUGGGGGGACUUCCUAGCUGCCUGGAAGCCAGUAUUCUACUAGCAGCCUUCAGAUGAAGAUGGAGAACUCUCAGCUCUUCCUGCACCAUGCCUGCCGGGACACUGCCAUGAUCCUGCCUUGAUGAUAAUGAACUGAACCUCUGAACCUGUAAGCCAGCCCCAAAUUAAAUGCUGUCCUUGUAAGAGUUGCCUUGGUCAUGGUGUCUGUUCACAGCAGUCAAACCCUCACUAAGGCAGGAAUAAUUGCCACCGUAUUAAUUGAAUUCCAGCAUUAAUUGAUAUUUAUGGAACAUAAUAAUCACUUAUUCUUCAGUCCUCUGCCUGACCUCACUAUUUGCAUUGCUGAUCCUCAGAACACAUCUGGAAGUCAAGAAAUCUCAGCUUCCCAGCUUUGCUCUUCAGUAUUUUACAAGCUGCCUGAGUCCUUGGUUUGUUCACCUAAGCUUUAAAUAUCCCAAGUUGACUUUCUGAUAUGAGCUGGGAUUGCUCUGAAUGCAUAAGACUAAGUCAGGAGAAUCUUAGACCCCAACAACAUUGUGUGUUCAUUUCCAUGGACUUCUUUUUGGUACAUUCAGCUAGAACUUCCUAGUUUUCUUUGUAUAGGUCUUGCACAUGUUCUAAGUGAUUUAGACUUAAGUCUCUCUCUCUCUCUCUCUCUCUCUCUCUCUCUCUCUCUCUUUCUCUCUCAUCUUAACUGCUAUAGGAAUGUGACUGACUUUCACAUCCUGUAAUCUGUCAGUCCUAGUUUUUUGGUCAUUACUGUUGAUUCUUCUGGGUUUCCUACAGGAUGGUAAUACCAUCAACUCACAAUGAUAGUUUUAUUUGAUGUUGUCUACUUAACCAUGGGUAGGUAUAUCUUGGUACUUUUCUUGUCUUACUGCAUUAGAAUCAAUUCUAGUAAGUUGGAAGUAGUAACAGGGGCUGGAGAGCAGUAAGAACACUGGCUAUUCUGGCAGAGAAUGUGGGUUUGAGUCCUAGCACCUACGUGUCGUCUCCAGGAGAUCCAAUGCUUUGUUCUCACUCCUGUAGACACCAGGCAUGUACAUGGAGCACAGAUGUGCAUGCAAGCAAAGUACAUGGAUAUGUAAAAAUAGGAAAAAUAGUAAUGAGAGGGGGUUGGCCUGUCCGUGUUCUUCACCCUGGUGGGAAAUUGGAGUCACUUGUUAUAAAGUAUGACACAUACAGUAAGCCUUAUGUUAACACUUAAACAGUUCUUGUUUAGCCAUAGAUAGUCUCUAAUGUAUUUUGAUCAUGUCCAUUUGUCCCUCCAUCUCUCCAACUCCUCCUACUGUUCCUCACUGCUUCCUCCCACCAUCACUUCUCUCUUGUUAUUACUAACACCUGUGUCCAAUUAGUGCUGUUCUUGGGGGUGUGGCCAUCAGUUUUUAGUUGGAUGUGGAAAUCCUACCUUUGUCCAUGUCCUCAAAAGAUUCUGUCUGUCUGUCCAUCUGUCUCAACAGCCCAUCUGCUGUCAAUAGCUCUUGCACAGAGGAAGGGGACUCAGAAGACCGGCUUGAUCUUGUGUGGGGCCAGCCGUGGGCAAGGUGAGCCCAGCUGUUGUGAGAUGAAGUUUGCAGAACCACAUUAGGUCCACAGGUCAGCGUUUCACAGCUCCCCGCCUCUGCCAGCUCUCGCAUUUUCUGUCCCCUUUUCUAUGCCCUUCCUGAGCUUGGGGCAGGGCUGUGAUAGAGGUGAAUCAGUCUACAGUGGGUUUCUCAGGGACUCACUGUGAAAGGAGAGUUAGUGGUCUCUCUACCCUCCCUCCCUGAUCUUUACUUCUGCUGGUGCUGACAGAGCCGUUCCUGUACCUGCACCCCCAUCUGCUGCUUUUUAUUUUAAACAGCUUCACUGGGCUACAAUCCACACGGCAUACAUUUUGCCUGUCUAGAAUGGCACAGUUCAGUGGUUUCCUGAAAGCUGUUUUUGUCUCAAAAAGAAACCCCAACCUCUUUAGCUAUGUCCUUUCUACGUUCUCCCUCCCAUUCUAAAGACACUUCUAGUCUCCUUUUGUGUCUGUACACUUCCUUACUAUGGUCAUCUCCCAUGGAGGCAAACAUGUACUGUGUGAUCUUUCAUGAGUCUGUCUUCUUUCAAGUUACAGAAGGUUUCACAACUCAUGGUUCAUUCAUGUGGUUGCAUGCAGCGGUUUCCUUCCUUCCGAAGGCUGGAUGAUACACAUAUCAGGCACAAACAUACCACACCAGGCACAUGCAUCAGGCACACCCAUCAGGCACACCCAUCUGGCACACACACACAGACACACACACACACACACACACACACACCAGGCACACGCACAUGUCAGGCACACACACCAGGCACACAUACCAGACAUCCCUCUUUUCCGAGGUCCUCAUCUUGUAUUUUCUUCUUACUGUGCACUUGAGUGAUGUGCCCAAAGGGCACAAACGAACCAGGAGGAAAUGUCUCUUGUACAAAAGUGCAAUGUAGCAAUGCCUUUCAGCUAGUGUUUAAGAUUGUGUCACGUCUGUUUUCUCUGAUAAAUCCCAUAGAACUGGGACUGGCCUUUUUCAAAUGCCUUAUUGCAUGGGGUGACUUAUUUGGCGUUGGAUUAAUGUCUGAACCUUUUAGUUAAUUAGUGUGAAACACAAGCCACCUUUACGUAAUGAGACUUGACAGUAAAAGGAGAAACCCGAGCAGAUGCUCACCCCUAGAACCUUUGGGGCCCUGCUUCUUUGUCCUUUCUUCAGCUCAGGGUGGCUGACUUCUGUCAAAGGAGUUGUUUCUAUUUCCCAUAAUUAGUCGCUUCAUGCAAACAUCUAAAGAGUCCUAAAUUACGAAUUAACACUGAACAAUUGUACGUCAUCCCAGAAUGAGAUUGUAGUGCACAGUGAUGAUAAAGUUUGGGUUAAAGGAAGCAAGACUAAUAACAAUGGUUAGUAAGGUGACUGGCAUGUCGUAAAAGAAGACAUGACAUGGUCCAGAACCCUCCUGAGGAACCCUUGAGAUCCCUCAAAGACAUGUGAUGUGCACACUGUCCUAAGCUGUCAUUCCAGUGACAUUCUUCCUGGCAGAAAUCUGAGAUUCGUUCUCCUUACACAUCCAUCUUCCCUUUUAAGGCCAUAUUGUAAAAUGAUACUUGUUCAGCCCUGAGUCAGAGCUGAUACAAACAUUUGAUUUGACUGAGCUGAGGCUGGGUGAUUUAGAGAUUCCUACCCCAACCAGGAGUGAGCUAAGACAGUCUUAAUAAUCUCAGAAGGCCAAGAACUUUGUCUGAAUUACUAAAUUCCUGUUGGUUGGGUACAAGAGUGUUUGAUGCCGCAAAUGGAGGGGUCAGAGGACGCCGGACUUCAAGCAAGGCUCCAGAGAGUGACUGUGGAGCUUCGAGUGUCCCGAGUUUUCUCUGUGGGCACAGCACACCACUUAGGUCCUUCUGGUACCUUCACAGUGCCAGCUAGGUGCACAGCAGUCUCUGCUGUGUCUAACAUGUAUCCCUCACUGACUGAAUAAUGCAGGGCAAGUUACUCAUUACCGCUAAGACUGCCUCUCUGUGGAGAUCAACUCUACUCUGUCUUAUGUGUUCAGUGCAAGGAAUAAACAUGAUUUGUGCACCCAGUGUCUACUCCCAAAGCUGGGCAGGUAGGCAUCUCUGCAUGCCCCUCCCUUCCUGCCCUUCUCUCUCCUGCCUCCAUAGGCUCCUCCCCUUUCCUGCCCUUCUCCCUCCUGUCCCCACAGGCUCCGCUCCUUUCCUGCCCUUCUCCCUCCUGUCCCCACAGGCUCCGCCCCUUUCCUGUCCUCCCUCCUUCCUCCACAGGCUCCUUCUUCUUCUCCCUCCUGUUGUUUCUUUCCAGCAGACCUCACUGGUGCCAUCGAGGCCAGCUCUGCACCUAGACCCUGGGGAUCUGCUCCCGUGGAGGAACAGAGAAAGGCCGACAUGAAGUAGAGCUUCUUUCUGGGUCUCACUGGCCUUUGGGGGAAACUGGAUGCGAUCCUAUUCCCUAACUCUGUGCCUCCUUAUCCCUGGCUUCAGCUGUGCUUUCUACCCACUUCCUGGUUACCUUGCAGACCUGUCACUGAGGAGGCACUGAGAAAAAAACACUGGCUGAAUGGAUCUGCACAAUUCAGAUAUAAAGAAAUGCCCACGUCUGCGAAGAACCAGAAAGAGGCAGCUCUAUGGAGCAAUGAAGCGCCAGCCGCUAGUAGAAAUUUAACUGGUUCUCACCCUGGUGAAGAUGCUGGGGGAGGCCAUCCUCCUCCAUGGCUAGUAGCAAUGUGAAUCGUCACCAGGUUUACGGACAAUGAUGCAGCAAGCUCAGGUGAAUUUAGCCAUCAAGGUGGCCCACCUACUGAGAUUAAAAGGUACUUGUACUUUUCAACCCAGGAGGGUAUGCCCACAAAUUUCUUCAAAAACUGAAGUACGCACAUGAAGAUUUAGAUUUACAAGGGUGUUCACUGAGUAUUGUCAGUAAAGGUAAAAAGAAAGUAAAUAAAUGGGAGCUUGCAAAAAGAGCCCCAGGGAGACUGACAGUGGGAUAAUUAGGAGCACUUCCCAGGAUGCACAGUUAGACAUUUGACACAGCAGGCAGAGCCAGCAUUAUCCACAAAGAAUUGAGUGAGAAGAAAGAAGAGCAGAGAAAUCUGUAUAAAAAGACCCAAACUUAGAAAAUAGACAUGGAACAAUAAAAUUCUGUGUCUGUGUGAGAGUGAGUGUACAUGGGAACUGUGUGUGAGUGAAUAUGCACUUGUGCAGGUGUGUGUGUGUACAUGGGUGUACAUGCGUAGUAUCUGUCUGCAUUUAUGUAUGUAUAUGCGCAUGUAUAUGCAUGAGUGUGUAUGCAUGUGUGUGCAUGAGUGACUGUGUAUGUGUAUGUGAAUGCAUGUGUGUAUGCAUGUUCAUGUAGUAUCUGUGUGAGAGUGAGUGUGUGCAUGUACAUGUGUGUGAGUGAAUAUGUGUAUGUACAUGUGUGUGUAUGUAUGUGUGAGCAUGUGCAUGUAGUGUCUGUGCAUGUGUGGGCAUGCAUAUGUGUGAGAACUUACAUAUGUUAUCUGUGUGUGUGCAUGCAUAUGUGUGAGAGCUUGCAUGUGUUAUCUGUGAUGAUGUGAACAGAGACACACAAGGGAAAUGGAUUCAGGAUAUAAUCAUAGGCUAUUUGAGGAGUCAUAAAAAGCAGAAAAUAAGAACAAGCUAGACAUAUUUUCUGUCAAACAUGAUGUGAUUUCAUUUGUGAAAAUUAAUGUGUGUUGCUAUUGUAUAAAACUCUUGCAAAAAGAAGAGCAAGCCGGUAGCUAACAAGGCUGAAAGUUCAUUUAUAAACCUAUAAAACGAGACAUGAGCUGCUGGCCCAGGGCUGGGGUUGGGGCGUGGAUGUAAUAAUGUGAGAGAGUGAGACUGGGGAUGAGCAGGAAUCACUCAACCUUGGCUCCGGUGCCUGUGGGACUCAGCCAGAGACGCCCAGCUCAGACAGGUUGCUCUGACCUCGCCUCUGUUUCACAGCACUUACCUUUCAAGGCAGGCUGAUCGAGGGCCUAGCCAAGGAAGGUAUGGAGUUCUCUUGUCUAGCACAGAAGAUUCCUGGGACUGUCCUCGUGCAUCUAAGAAAAGACCAGGAGUUUACCCUUGCCCAGGAUGUAGAGACCCACGAACAACUUCUCUGCAUAACCCUUUGAAGCAUCUUCUGUUCUACAGGGAGGAGGAGGGAGUGAGGCACACAGCACAGAGUGGUGUAGAUGUUUAAUCAAAAGAGGUGCAGUUGCUGAUAAGAUCAUAGAACAGAACAUUAAUAAAAUACUGUUCUCCCAUGGCUUGGGGGUUCUUUGAUAACCUGGGCUGAAAUGCCAAUGUCCUUUGGACCAUAGCAAUUAUUCAAAUUAAAUCAUUGCUUAUCUUUAAAAGAGAUCCUUGGAAUUCAGAGUGGUGAAUCCUCAGCAGCUCCUACUUAUUCUGACUUCCUCUCAAGACGGACAAGCCAUGUACAGGCCUUGUACGCAUCUGUCUCAACAUGCCUUCCUCUCCCUGCAGACCUUGUAGCUAGAUGGUGCUAUUUUUUUUAUCUUGUUCCCUGGAGGUUAUUAGUUUAUAAAAAGCCUCAUUCUUAGUUUAUAAAAAGCCUCAUCAGUUAUAUAUUCAAACACAAAAUAUUGAUUGAAAAAGGCCUGGUGAGAAUUUCUGAUUUUUGAUUUAUACUAGGUCGCUUGCCAGAUUUUUUUUUAAUGUGUAAGGUUUUGUUUUUUAAAUCUGAGGAUUCUAUGUAGUUAUGACCAGAGAGUAUAAAUAAUAUUGGAAUACCGAGUCCCAGUUUUACAUAGGAAGCUUAUGUCCUUCUGGAAAGUAGGUAGUAGAUCUGUGACAAAGUUGUAUUCUUACAAUUAAUCAAGCUGACAACCCAAGAACCUCCCAAAGACACUGCUAGGUUUGCAGAGACCCAAAGCCCCCAGUUGAGCAGUUCCCCUUCUGAACUGAGAGGCUGCUCAUGCUGUGACUUUCCUCUGGGUUUGGUUUCUUAUUUUUCCACUUUAUGCUUUUGCAGGACAUUGAUUUUAUCUGCGACAGGGUCUAGCUACAGAGCUGGUCACAAAGUUGUGACCCUUCUUCGACCUUCUGAAGUGUAAUAUACUAUUGACAAACUGAUUACUUUUGUUCUUAGACAGUUUUCACAUGUACAUAAUGCAUUCUGUUACUUACCCGGCCCCUUAUCCCUCCUCAUCUGUAUCGGUGCUCUCUCCCAUCACUAUCUGUCCCUUUCUAAGGUUCAGGAAUGUUGGUUUCAUUUUGUGACUGAACUGAGUUUAACUAGGGCCACUUGUGUGACUGCUGGGUUAUGAGUGACAUGGCAACACACUACAAGGAUUCCUGCCCCACCCUGAGUCUAUUAGCACAGCCUCUUCCUCUUAUGGAAGUGUUCUUCUGUGAGAUGCUUUUCAACCUUUCAAACCAAACUUUGACCCAACCUGUUAUAACCAAGUGGAUAAGGUCCCUUGAGGUCAUUGUAGCUGUGUAUUCAUCCUGCUUGUGCUCUGCCUCCAUUGUACCACAUUCCCUACUUUUUGUCUGGGAUCCACUCAUGCCCUCGACUCAGAACAAUGUGGUGUGUUGAAGACCACUUGCUGGAAGCAGAGAGAUGCUGGAAGCAACAACUCUUCCCAAACACGCUGGAAGCAGUGUGUGGCUGUAGAGCAAUAUCUGCUGGGAACUUUGUGUCUUGUUCUGAGCACUGACAUCUGAUGGGAACUUUGUAUCUUGUUCUGAGCACUGUCAUCUGAUAGGAACUUUGUGUCUUGUUCUGAGCACUGAUGUCUGAUGGUAACUUUGUGUCUUGUUCUGAGCACUGUCAUCUGAUGGGAACUUUGUAUCCUGUUCUGAGCACUGACCUCUGAUGGGAACUUUGUGUCUUGUUCUGAGCACUGACCUCUGAUGGUAACUUUGUAUCUUGUUCUGGGCACUGACAUCUGAUGGUAACUUUGUGUCUUGUUCUGGGCAAUGAUAUCUGAUGGUAACUUUGUAUCUUGUUCUGAGCACUGACCUCUGAUGGGAACUUUGUGUCUUGUUCUGAGCACUGACGUCUGAUGGUAACUUUGUGUCUUGUUCUGAGCACUGACAUCUGAUGGUAACUUUGUGUCUUGUUCUGAGCAAUGAUAUCUGAUGGUAACUUUGUAUCUUGUUCUGAGCACUGACCUCUGAUGGUAACUUUGUAUCUUGUUCUGAGCACUGACCUCUGAUGGUAACUUUGUGUCUUGUUCUGAGCACUGACGUCUGAUGGUAACUUUGUGUCUUGUUCUGAGCACUGACAUCUGAUGGUAACUUUGUAUCUUGUUCUGAGCACUGACAUUUGAUGGUAACUUUGUAUCUUGUUCUGAGUCCCUAUGAGAUUCCUGAGAAAAGCUAAGGCAGAAGCUUCCUUGUUACCACAUCUGCUGUGCUGUUCACCGUAGACACAGGACGGCCUCUGCUCAGGAUGACUUUAGACCCAAGCAGCCUCCUUUCUCAGUCCUCCUGCAGUCUUAACCAACCCCACCACAUGGACCUUGUCUUCAGGUCCUGGAAUAAGCAAGGUUGCAUUGGAUUCUAGGUUUGUCUGUGGCUCCCAUCCAGUUCAAUCCUCUAGUUUCUGGAAUAGCCGAGAGGUGUUGGUUGCAGGGCUGCUCAGAGUGGAUCCUGUCUGGACCCUAUCUGAAACACCCUAGCAGGAAGUUGGCUCAAGGGUGGAGGCUCUUGACUAGGCUUGGAUAGCACUCACUUUUUAAAAACAGGAUUAUGUUUUUCCCUUUCUGCUGGGAUUUUUCUUUCCUUCCCUUCCUUGAGAAGGGAUCAUCCCAACCCCCCAUCACAGUAUAAAUUACUUGAGCAGGAUAAAUCAGCAGCAGCCUCCAUGGUUGCAAAGAGCUUUUCAAGAGAAGGAAAGUCAGUUUGACAGGUGAACAUGCUGCCCAAUUAAAGGAUUAGCAUUUUGUCUCCUGCACUCGAAUUAGGAGCUCAGGACUCUAGUGCUGACUUGUUUAUGAUAAAAUUAUUUGUGGUCAUUUUUUCAGGGAAUGUGUGGAGGGUGUCAGUUUUGAUAUUUUAGCCUCAGAGGCAAGUAGAAAAUGACACCCACACGUGAUCAGUGGCACGUACCAGAACUUGUCUCCAGCUCGUCAAAUCCAGGUGUUUUCUGUUUUCCUUCCCUAUGUAAAGCAACCCACUCCCCACUUUGUGGCAGGAACACUCUAGCUUUCACUGAAUCUCAAGGUUUUGUGCAGAUGGACUGGCUGCUCAUGUUGGAGGAUUGUGUUCCUUGUCCCAGCCACUUUGACUGGGUGAUUAGGAGGCUGAUUGGAGGUUUUGGGGUCAGAGGCUGGGGUAAAGGAUUGUGCAGAAGGCCACUUUAUCCAGUUUUCAUGUCUAUCUGUUGCUUUGGAUGCUGCUUUCUGGUUUCCAUGGAAAUAUAGAUGACUGGGAUGGGACCAUCUACACAAGUGACAAGGAAGGCACUUGUCUUGAGAGGAGGCUCAGAUAGAGUCUUCUGCCCUGUGGCCUCUGGGAAGUCAUUUCCUUUUCUGAGUCCUGGGUCAUCGCUUAAGUCCCUGUUGCAGCUGGAAUGCAGCUGACCUAGACUGUGCACCUGUGCUGAGCCCUGUGUUGGUCGACUUUCUGUUACUGUGGCAACUGUCUGGGAUGAGAAAAAAAAUGCACAUCGGGCAAGAAAGCAUCUUCAGUAGCUGGUGUUAGCUAAACUGAAUAGACAUGCAGAAGAGUGAAAUUAAGACUUUGUCUCUGCAAAAGACUCAGGGGCAAGUAGGUGAAGGGUCUUAACACAAGGCUGGAUUGGACACACCAAAUCCGGUCAAGGAGAAAAUAAGGUGUAUGCUUCAAAUUACAGGAACAGAAGAACUUUCUGAACAGGACCCCCAUGAUGCAGACAUUUAGACAGACAACUGGCAAAUGGAACUUUAUCGAACUAGAAAUCUUUGUAUAUCUUUAACUGAGGAGACAGCCUGCAGAAUGAGAAACACUCUUUACCACAUAUACAUCCGACAGAGGGUUAGUGUCUAGAACAUACACAGAACUAAAACAAACAAAUACAGGAAAACAACCCAAUUAAAAAUUGGGGCAUGGAACAAAAGAAAAAAGUCUCGAAAUAAAAAAAAGAUUUAAAUAUUUAAGAAAACUCAAGUUAAGUACUUUGUGAUUUGCUCUUAUCCUAGAACAGCUAAGAUAAAACAAAGCAAACAAAUGACUGCCAGGGUGGUGGCCAUGCCUUUGGUCACAGUGCUAGAAAGGGAGUUGGAGCUCUGAAUUCCAGGGCAGCCAGCGCUGUAUAGUAAGUUCCAAGCCAGCCAGGGCUACAUAGUAAAACCCUUCCUUGAACAACAAGAGACCCCCAAAACAAAUGACAACCAAUGCUGGUGUGGGUGUGGAAAAGGGAGACACUUAUUCAUUGCUGGUGGAAGUUCGAACUGGUGCAGCCACUGUGGAAAUCAGUGUGGGGGUUCCUCAAAACACCCGACUUCGCUCUAUCACAUGAUCCAGGUACAGCACAUGGGCACAUGCCCAGAGGACUCUGUGUACUAAAGGGAGGUCUGGUUCUCCGUGUUCAUUGCCAUAAUACCUGCAGCAGCCGGGGAACCGAGGCAGCUUAGACAUUACCAACUGAAGAAUGGAUAAUGAAAAUGUGGUGCAUACAAACAAGGGCACAUUAUUCGGUGGUAAAGAAAAAUAACAUCAUGAAAUUGUCAGGAAAAGGUGUGAGUGCCAUCGCUCUGAACGAAGUAACCCAGACCCAGGAAAACCAAUACUAAGAAAAACCGAUACUAACAAUACUCUCUCACAGGUGGAUGUGAUCUUUGAAUAUUUACAUGUGCGUGUUUAAAUAGGAGGGCCAACAGAAGGCAGAGAAGGGAGGGCAGGGUGGAAAAGGGAGGGUGGGGACACCCAAGAGUUUUGAAAAUACCAUAGGCAACCUACUACUCUAGUAGAAGCUUCCUAGGUUAUAAGCAUGGGCAAACAUAUACAAAAAGAGUUUAAAUGGAGCUACCCUAUUACAGACAAGCACUUCUUCCCUCAGCCACUGUAGGCUAUUAGACGAAAAUCCCAGAGGCAGGUGUAGAUUAUCUCUUUUCAGGUUGGUGGUCAAUGGUGCCCCACAGACCUCCAAACAAAUAGGCAAUCACCAGAACUUGAUGGAAAGAGCCUAUUGCUGAAAACACCACACCCUCUAGCCAUAAGACCUGAAUGAAGCAGGCUGGAACGGACACUGAAGGUUCAUUCCUACCGGCUAACUUUCAUGGAUGGAAGGCACUAUGUAUGUUAUUGGUGUUAGCAGUGGUCUACUCAGCUGUGAACCCUGUGAGCCGCCUGGCAACAGUGGCACAGGCGUGGGAGUAACCAACCACUUUCUGUUUGUGUUUAAAGCCUUCUCUGUGAGACAGAACUCAUUAUGCUCGUCACUAUGAACUGGGCCAAAGCUCUAUGGGUUAUUAGAUCUUAGGGAGACAACCCAGUUAUUCUGCUAAACUGUCCAAGUUCUGAUCUUUAUAUCCAUAGAUGAGUGCAUCUCUCAGCUCUCACUGGGGAAGCUUCAUCUAGCAGUAGAUGGUGAAAGCUGACUCCUCACGGAUGCCGGGGUGCCACUGCCUGAUUAGGAGUCAGUUAGCGGUAGCUGUGUUACUUGUAUGUAACAUAUAGGAAAACUUAUGUGGUUACGCACUGCCGUUCUGUGCUUCGGAAUCUCUCUUCUAUGUUCAGAGACAUUGUCUGUCAUACUAGUCCCAGGGUGACAAACUGGGUGCAAAUUACAGGUACUGGUUGAUUUUCUGUCGGCAAAUCCACUGUCUGGCUUGUAAAGGUUCCGAGAUUCACACAAAGAUUACUUCCUAUAAUAAUCCUCCUCUGGACUGAAGAGUAGCUGUGUUUUGACAUUUGUGCUUACUCACUUCUUGGAUGGGGAGCUUGGAGUUGUCCUCACUCCUGCUCUUACUGGGGUGUGACUCUGAGAACUCACUGAAAGCCCUGUUUGUGGCGAUCCCCAUGCAUUAAAUGGGGACAGCAGAAACACCCACCUUACCUAGUUGUCAUGAGGAUAUGCAAAGACUUGGGAUGGCAGCUGGCAUAGAGCACCAGGCAUGGCUAUCACGAGCAUCUGAGUAAGUGUGCCUGUCUGUGCUUGUGUAUGGUUGAGCAGUGUGGAGAAGAUGUCAGAGGAUGUGCAGACCCUCACCAACACUAACUACUUAGUGUCAAGUACAGGCAGGAAGCUCGGAACUUGGUAAGGGUGGGAGGGGAAAAUGAGAGGUGUAUCCCAAACUCCUCGACACUGCAUGCGGGAUUACUGAAACCCUGUGUGUGUGAGAUGGCUGGUCUUGGCUGUCAAACUAGCACACUGGAGGAAAGGGAAACCUCAUUUGACGGAUUUGCCUCCAUCAGAUUGGCCUGUGCGCAUGUCUGUGGGGGCAUUCACUUGAUUACUAACUGAUGUAGGAGGGUCCAGCCCACUGUGAGCGGUUCUAGUCCUAGGCAAAUGGUCUUAGCCGCAUAAGAAAAGUAGUCCCACAUGAUCUUGAAGGUAAGCCAGUAAGCAGGAUCUCGUCUUCCAUGACUCUAUUUUGGUUUCGGCCUUGAGUUCCUGCCCUGACUUCUCUCAGUGCAGGAGUGUGACCUGGGAGCCAUAAGCUGGCCCUUUCCUCCACAAGUAGCUUAGGGGUCAUGAUCUUUAUUACAGAGUCCACAGUGGGAAAUAAAACUACAAAGAUGUGUCAGGAAGCGUUGGCCACAGAAGUCCCAGCAGUGGUGACUCCUCAAAGUUUAGAGGACCCACAAGAUAACAUGAAAGAGUUUGUUUUUAUCUGAGGUGAAGUAAACAAGAGGGAACAAAGCCCCGUUUCCAGCCGCGGGGACGGCAGUUCAAGGUUUAUACUGGCUCCAUUUUCCUCUGUACUGUAGCUCACGCUGUGGUGAAAUGGUUACUACCUUUUAGUUGAUGCGAAAUGACCUGUGUGUAUUGAUGAAAAACUGUUUAUAUGACGGCAAACGCACGCACGCACGCACGCACGCACGCACGCACGCACGCACGCACGCACGCACGCACGCACGCACACACACACACACAGACACACACACACACUUGCAGCUGACUAGUGUGUAUAUAAAAUUACUGCUGUGAGUUACAGAAAAUGUCCCAGCAUGAGGCUGAGGCCUGCAGGCACCGGCUUGGCAGGUUGCCUCCUGUUCUCUGUCCAGACAGAUGGAGGCAGGAAGGAUUAAUUUUGAUGGUGCCCUCUACAUAUCUGAGUGAUUUCUUCUGAUGGCUGACAGUUCUAGGUGCAACCAUUUGCAGUCCUGAAAUUUUGGCAGUGGUUUUGUUUUGGAAGCUUUAAGAAACCAAGUAUUUGCAGGAAGGCUCUUUUGUGCCUUGUUUACGUCAAGGUAGAGAUUUUUUGGAGAGUCAUCCACCCAGAGGGGAGCUUAGACUUUCAAAGAGUCCCUCCUUAGCAACAAGGAACAAAACGAUACAAAAUGUGACCUUCCAAUUAAUUAGGAGAAUAAAAUCUGUGGGUAACUGUGGAUCCACAGUCUUACAGAGAGGGUGUGGGGUGAAUCUUUGUUUCCAAUAUCUCCCUUCAGCCCCACGUACUGAGGAACUGCCUGCUCCGCUCCCGAGAACUUCUCAGAGUAGUGGGUCUAAAACAUGCAAAUAUCCCCCUAGGAGAAGUUGAGUGAAGACAGCUAUUAGACAUCUGUACUGUGGAGAACAGAAUGUAGAGAAAGGGGAUUGUGAAUCCGAAGACAGAAGAGGGGACCGCUCUAAGGGCAGAUGCUGGCUGGGAGAGAGAUUAAGCCUGGAGUCUUGCCAGAGCAGACCAUAAAAAGACACCAGGCCUCUGCAGUGACACACAAAGGGAUUUUAUCAAUCAGCUUCUCUUGGUUUCGAGUGACAGAACACUCAAUUCAUUCAGGCCAAAGGGGAAAGGAGACGCUAAUGAUUCCUAACUGAAAAGGUUCAUGGUAGAUUGGGGUCGAGUUUCAGGCAUAGUUUGAUCCAGGGGUCAAAAGAUACUCUCAGGGCUGGGGAUUUAGCUCAGUGGUAGAGCGCUUACCUAGGACCCUGGGUUCGGUCCCCAGCUCCGGAAAAAAAGAAGCAAAAAAAAAAAAAAAUACUCUCAAACCUGUUUUUCUCUGCAUUCAGAUCAACCGUUCUCAACUUGUCAUUUAUGGCCCCCUUGGCCCAUCUCUGUCUUCAAAAAUAUAUUAUGAUUCAUAACGGUAGCAAAAUCACAGUUAUGAAGUAGCAACAGAAGUAAUUUUACCUUUGGGGUGUCAGCACAACCGGAGGAACUGUUUUAAAUGGUCACAGCAUAGGAAUGUUGAGAACCGCUAGGUCAGAUGGACUCUUCUCUCUCUGGGGUCCCGUCUUAGUCAGGGUUUGUACAAAACAUCAUGACCAAGAAGCAAGCUGGGGAGGAAAGGGUUUAUUCAGUUUACAUUCCACAUUGCUGUUCAUCACCAAAGGAAGUCAGGACUGGAACUCAAGCAGGUCAGAAAGCAGGAGCUGAUGCAGAGGCCAUGGAGGGAUGUUUUCUACUGGCUUGCUUCCACUGGCUUGCUCAGCUUGCUUUCUUAUAGAACCCAAGACCACCAGCCCAGGGACAGCACCGCCCACAAUGGGCUGGGCCCUCCCCCCUUGAUCACUAAUUGAGAAAAUGCCUUAUAGCUGGGUCUCAUGGAGGCAUUUCCUCAAGGGACGCUCCUUUCUCUGUGAUAACUCCAGCUUGUGUCAAGUUGUGUCAAAACCAGCCAGUACAGGUCCCUUUCAACAGGACACCCCAUCCUAUGACUUUCCACAAUCACUAUAAAAUUUCUUCUUUGCCCUAGGUGCUGCAAGAAAAAUUCGUGGCAUAAGCUCUGAUUGACCAUGGGCUACAGGGGUGGCCUCCUGAGGGAGCAGUGGGGCCGAGCUGGGGUAGGAUGGGAUGGGGUGAGUCAGCUCCAGGGGUAACACUUUUUGAGGAAGUGGGCCCAGUGUUUGGAGAAGAGAUAAAAUCGGAUGAUGGAGAUGUAGUCAGCUUCUGUCCUCCAUAGCCUUGGCCAAGAUCAGCUCAGACUGGAUUGUGAAACUAAGCUGCUGGGUCCCAAGCGGGUCUAAAGAGCUUUGGUGGAGAAGGAGUUCACACCGGAUAUAUGGGGCCCAGCACAUGCAAAAAUGACCAGCUUUGUGACAUCUAGUUACAUAACAGAAAUGUGUGCAUGCAUGUAUGCAUGUAUGUGUGUAUUGUGUGCAUGCAUGUAUGCAUGUAUAUAUGUGUAUAUGUAUAUGCAUGUAUGCAUGUAUAUAUGUAUAUGUGUAUAUGCCUGUAUGCGUGUAUGUAUGUGCAUGCAUGUGUCUAUGUUUGUAUAUGUAUGCGGGUAUGUAUUUGUGUAUGCAUGUAUAUAUGUGCAUGUAUGUGGAUAUGCAUGCAUAUGUGUAUGCAUGUGUGUAUAUGUAUGUGUGUAUUCAUGUGUGUGUAUGUGUGUAGGUCUAUGUAUGUGUAUAUGCAUGUAUGCAUAUAUGUGUGCAUAUCCAUGUAUGUGUAUAUGCAUGUGUGUAUGUGUGUAUGUGCCUGCCUAUCUAUGUCUACAUGUCUCUGUAUGUCUGUGUAACUAUACAGAGAUGCCCCAAGCUGGGCAGAUGAGUAGUGAGCAUGAUUAUCACAGUUUGCCUGUUCACCUUCAGUCCAGUGUUCAGUGCUUUACUAGAAAUAUUCGACACUCAUAUUGGCUUUGUGUGAGAUGACUCCAUUCAACUGUGAGUGGGAGGUGGGGUGCAUGAGGGUCAACCCACUGUUAGUUGAAACCAUUUAAGCUGAAACUGCAUUCUGGUUGAGCAUGGUGGCACAUGCCUUAGCAGCGCUUGGGCAGCUGAGGUAGAAGACGUGAGUUUGAGGCCAGCUUGAGCUGCACAGCUAGACUGUGCCAGAAAGUGGGGUGGGGGAGACAGAGAGACUGGCAGAGAGUUAUAGAGACAGAGAGAUGGUGUAGUUAAAAAUUAGUAUUAAUUGGGGGUUUCUACCUCACCUUACAUAAUUUAGUUCCCAGAUAAAAGACAUGAAACUUUUAUAAUUAUAAUAAGCCUUAGACAGUACCAGAGAUGGGCAGAUAUCUACCCUCUAAGCUGUUUUGUCCACUUCCCUGCUAAUAACCUGAAGAUAUGACUGGGCCACUCUUACUCAUACUGGCCAGCCCUCAAGGCCAGUUCACAAGAUCCCUUCCCCCAUGGCAUCUUCUCCUCACUUUCUCUUUCCUUUCCUCAUCCUCAUGGUCCCUGAUUCAAGACCACAAGCCACAGGAAUCGAAGCUCAACCUGCCUCUUUUCUGCCCAACUAUAGGCUGGGGACAUCUUUAUUCAGCUAAUAGUUUUAAAUUAAGGAGCAAGGUUACAGAGUGUACCAGGAUUGCCUCAUCCCCGAGGCAAUGCUUGGGGGCCAGUAUUUAGCAUUACAAUAUAUAGCAACACACCAAACCUCAACACAGACACACAGACAAACAUAUAACACACACACACACACACACACACACACACACACACACAGAGAGAGAGAGAGAGAGAGAGAGAGAGAGAGAGAGAGAGAGAGAGAGAGAGAGAGAGUCUACAUUGAGAAAGAGACAGGCCUAGUUCACAGAACCUAGCAGCCUAGCUUGGCCUGCCUUAAACAAGCAAAAGUACAUGUGCACGUGAGACGGACACUAUAGAUGUAACUGAAUUACUGGAGAUUGAGCUCUCACUCCAGGCUAAUCCUUCAGCAUUCUAGAAUCUCUCUCUCUCUCUCUCUCUCUCUCUCUCUCUCUCUCUCUCUCUCUCUCUCUGGCAUGUGUAGGUGCACAUAUGCAUCUUUGUAUUGGGGGCAAGUGAACCAUGCCACCAGACAGAAGAGCUGUAAGGUUGAGUGAGCCUAAAUCCCGGGAAACUCAGAAUUGAGGACAGUAGGAGUGGGGCUUGGAACUUGUAACCAUGACACCCCACUGAGAGGACCAUGGCAAUCAGUCACAUAGAGAAAACACCUGGAGUCCUUCCCCUGGCAAAUAGAGUGUAUCUAGCAUCUCAAACUCAGCCAAUGGGCAGCAUCUUCCCCUGGAUCCUACCCUGCCCCUCGAUGUUUCUAAAGUCUGUAUUCACGUGGGAAAAGGUGCUAUUCCCUGAGAAUCAUCUGAGAGUGACUGUUUUAUUAAGUUGUAACACUUUGGGGCAGAGUUUUCUCUCCCAAAACAUUCCUUGCUGGACCUUGGACCCACCUGGCAGGCUGGGCUCCUGCCCUGCCUCCCCUGCUGUGGUUACCACUGCCCACUGCUGCCCACCAACCCUGCUACUGGCAUUGGCACUGCCGUGGUAUCGGGUGAGACCUGGGACCCCAGAUACCUGCCCUGAGUGGGCUUCCCUUCUGAGAGCUUUAACACUUUAGCUGUUUCCAGCUGGGCCAGAGACUUGAGGAAGCUAUUUGUACCGGUUCAGCAGGGGACAACAGUCUAUGUGCAUUCAUAUGUGUAUAUGUGAGGGUGUGUGUGUGUGGUGUAUGUGUGUAUGCAUCUAUAUGUGCAUGACACAUGUUUAUAUAUGUUCAUACACGUGUGGUGUGGUGUGUGUUUCCAUGCAUGUGCCUGUGGAUGCUGAAGACCAAGGCCAGCCAUCCUUCUCUUUGAUUCCGAUCUUUGCUUUAUUUUUCUCGGAAGUUCCCUUGCCAUUUGGUUUUGUCUGGAUGCACAGCCCAGAUAGUUUUCCAAGUCCUAUGGAGCUGGGUUGCAGACCUAUGCCAUGCGGCCUGCCUUCUGUGUUGGUGUUGAGUAUGUGAAUCACGACCUUCAUGUUUGCGCUGUGAGUACUUUACACACGAGGCCAUUCCCCGAGUCCCAGGUUUAAGCAGUACUCUGGCAAUCCUCGUAUAAAGUAGCUGGAAACGUACUUGGUGGUAGAGAACUUGCAUGGUGUUCGCAGGCCCUGGAUCUGCUGCACAACACAAAAGUGAUGGUAAAAGUGCAAAAACAAUAGCAAAACCCCAACCAAACAAGGGAUGCACAGAAUCCAAGCCAAACCAAAGACAUGCAUAGAGUCCAACAUUGGGAGGCUUUAGACAUUCCAAAGAGCAUACUUGUUAGACCCGGAAGUAGUGUCUGACGUCAGAGGCCUGUGCUAUGCUCACCGUCAUUGGUCAUUUCCUUCCUGGUGGAUGGGCUGCUGGUUCCUUACCUCCCCUGCCUUUGGAGGUUGAAGACACGGAGAGGAAUCUGCUCUCACGUUUCCUACAGAGACUUUGGUUCCUUAGCUACUUCCUUUCAUGCCCUGCCUCCCUACCACCAUGUCCUCUCCCUUGACGGGGAGGGCUGUGCCGUCAUUUUCAGCUGACACCAGUCCUGUGGGAAUGGUUGAGAAGGCCACCUUCAUUGAAGUCAUUAAGGAAAUACGAUCCAGAGCACAGAGUGGUCCAGCCCAGCACGUUGCACAGGCUGGCUUGUAAAAGUGACAGGCAACGAGGGGCGGAGCCCAGGGAGCCUGAGUCUAAGAACACAGGUCAGCCUCUUGCCCAUCCUGGAUUCGCAGUUUUCCCACGACAAGCUUGGUAUUUGAACACGGGCAGCACCAAGAGUCUAGAUUUGUUUAACUCUGAACGGUUGGUCCUCAGCUUGUCUGACAAUGUUCUUCAGGGGUCGCAGUGCUCUGAAAACAACUUCCUCUCCUAGGUGGUAGAUGAGAGCUAGAUGCAGAUUUAAGCUCAGGAAUGGAGUUUACCAUGUGUAUCUGUCAGUGACUCUGAUCAGAGACUGCUAAGGAGACCCAAGAUGAUGGCUGGAUUCCUCAGAACCCAGGGGAGCCUUGAUAUUAAUGAUUCUUUUUUUUUUUAAGAUUUACUUAUUAUAUAUGAGUACACUGUAGCUGUCUUCAGACACACCAGAAGAAGGCAUCACAUCCCAUUACAGAUGGUUGUGAGCCACCAUGUGAUUGCUAGGAUUUGAAUUCAGGACCUCUGGAAGAGCAGUCAGUGCUCUUAACCACUGAGCCAUCUCUCCAGCCCCGAAGUUAAUAAUCCUUAAGACGGCAUGCUGAGCAAGGCUGCAGAGGUGCAUAGGUAGAGUGGCCUUGCUUGUGUUCCCAGACCUCUCUCUGCCUGCCGUCCCCAAGGAAGCUGAAGAGCGGUGUGUGGCUAACAGAAUGUAAGUAGUUUGCUGUUACUCUUCAGCCUGACGAUUAAUGAAAGGGCUGUACAUGUGUGUGUGGGUGUGCAUGCAUGUGCAUGUGUGUGCAUGUGUGUGUAUGAUGGCUUACCAUGGAAUGAAGUCAGAUCUUCAUGGCAGAACAAUCCACAGCUGAAAAAUGUAGGAUGAUGUCAUCACGCAGGUGUAGGCAGGUACAAGAUAGAAAGAGGCCUGUCAUUGGACGAGAAGGAAGGAUGGGUGGGAGGAAAAUUUUAGAAAGAGGAGAAGGCUGAAGCAAGGCAGAGAGGAAGCCACGGAGAGAACAUGGAGACAGAUGUUAAGAUUCCUCUCUGCACAUUUACAAGUUGUUAUUGAAUGUUCUUAAAGGAUGGAUGUGUUGUAUGUCUAGGUGGGCAAUUAUAUUUUAUCAAUUGGAUCACAGGUUAUUGUGUUGUGUGUUCUUUCAUGUGGUGAUUUAAGUCUAUGAGAGUAUGUGGUGGUGGAGACACUAGGCCGCCACAGAAUUGGGAUGUGUAUGUCUGACAUGGUGGCAACCUGCCUUGGGAACUAGAUGGGUAGAGAGAUUGUUACCAGGCUCAGAGAGAAGCCUUCGGCAGUGUGAUAUGGGAUGGAGCAGAGCGGGUGAGACGCUUUGUUGACUGAGAUUAAGCUAUCUACCAGAUAUCUUGGGGCACUACUAGUGCAGGGUAAAAGACACAUCUUCUUCUUCUUCUUCUUCUUCUUCUUCUUCUUCUUCUUCUUCUUCUUCUUCUUCUUCUUCUUCUUCUUCUUCUUCUUCUUCUUCUUCUCUUCCUUCUCCUUCUCCCUCUCCCUCUCCCUCUUCCUCCUCUUCUUCUUUCUUCUUCCUUCUUUCUUCUUCUUCUUCCUUCUUUCUUCUUCUUCUUCUUCUUCUUCUUCUUCUUCUUCUUCUUCUUCUUCUUCUUCUUCUUCUUCUUCUUCUUCUUCUCCUCCUCCUCCUCCUCCUCCUCCUCCUCCUUCUCCUCCUUCUCCCUCUCCCUCUCCCUCUUCCUCUUCCUCCUCCUCCUCUUCUUCUUUCUUCUUUCUUCUUCCUCCUCCUCCUCCUCCUCCUCCUCCUCCUCCUCCUCCUUCUUCUUCUUCUUCUUCUUCUUCUUCUUCUUCUUUUUUAUAAUUUUACAGCAACAGAAAGACUCUAAACUAGAAUAGCUAAUGGUGCCAGCCCCUCCUCGGGUCUCCUCGUGUCAGCUGUGUCCGUUUCUCCUCUUUGUCUGCUGUCCGUGCCAGAUACCAACAGCCCACAUGUGGUCUGUAGUCGAAUGCCUCUGCAGACUGCUGUGUUGAACUUCCUGUGGAUUGCUUUCAGGCACGAGUAUCCGUAGCCCAAGUGUCCGAUGGCUCGGAUGGAGAUUUAGGGAGUAUGUGCCACAGGGUAGUGGAGGAAAUCUGAGAUCAGAGGCAAUGAUCGAUAGGUUGGGGUUCCUGGUAGGCAGAGCCCUCAGUGGAACGUGGUGUGUGGGAUAUUUAUUAUGGAGUGCCCUUGAGCGAGGAGAAGCCACAGGGAAGAACAUAUUUAUUUCUACAGAGGCUUUGGGGAUAAAAGGGUGCUUCAGAUUCUGAGGCUGAGGUGGAGUAGUGACUGGCUGUGGCUGCCUCAGGAAGGGCCUCUGGCCUCCUGUAGCUGGCUUAGCCUGGAAAGGGGCUGGCAGUAGAGGUUUCAUGCUGGUAGAUAACCCAGGAGCAGAGUGGGGCAGCUUGAACGAGAAUAUGCUCCAAGGGUUCAGACACUGGAGGAUGUGGUGUUCUCGGUGCUAGUGUUGUUUGGGUAGUUUUAGGUGUGGUCUUGUUGGAGGAAGCAAGUCACUAAAGGUGGGCUUUGAGGACUUAAAGACUCAUGCUGUUCCCAAUUUGUUCUGUUUCCUGCCUCUGGUUUGAGGUGUGAGCUCUCAGCUGUUCCUGCCACCAUGGCUGCUGCCAGGUGCGCUUUGAACCAUAAAGCCAGAUACAUUGUUUCUUUUGUAAGUUACCUCGAUCAUGGUCUUAUCACAGUGGUAUGAAAGUAACUAACACCCCAGGACAGGUGGUCUGUCAGUGGAGGGGCCUGGCUGACAUCUUUGUAUGUGCUGUACUUGGUGUUUUAGGGGUCAGUAACACACUCCUUCAAGAAGGGCACCGUGACCUUGUAUCACUGCCCAGUGUCGUACACCCCGCCUGUUCCUCUCUUCCUUAGCUUGUAAAUUGUAGUCAGUUUUCAUCCUUCCCAGGGUGUUUCCCUCCAGCUCCUAGCAAAGAGAGCACAGGAUGCUCGCACCUGUAUCAGCUUUUGGCAGUCUUACACACAUGGGAGCUGGUUGGAGUACCAGGCAAACAUCUACACUCUUUCUUGUGUCCCUGGCAGCAUACACAAUGCUGGUGCCUCUCUGUGUUAAAAACUCGUCACCCAUUCUGUAUAUUUUAGCCUCCUCCAAAGAGAAUGAUCAGAAAUAAGGUGAAUCACACAGGAGCCAUGUCAUGACCUCUGAGGCCUGGCCAUCUCUUCUCCCUGGAGGCAGCCCCCAUAACAUUCAAGGGUCUUUUGAAGAGUUGUUACUUCCAUUGCUUUGUUCCUAGACGUUGGCCCUUCUUGGGAUGGAGGGUGUCUAUUCGUUAAGGGCCAUGUGGCUGAACUCAAUGUCAUGUCCUGUUUUCCCAAGGCAUAUCAGGAAACAUCUGUACCUCCGACUUGUGGGUCUGUGGGGAAUGGUCUCUGGGCAGAGUGGCUUUGGCCGUGGCAGUGACCGGAUGGGAGACGGCAGCUGCACUGCAUUUGCUAAGGGUUAGUUGGAAUUCACUGGAAAUCAGAUCUGAUGGGGGUCUUGGUUCUGACGAUGACACUAAUUCCGUCUGAUCAGAUUUCCUGCUGGUCUGGCUGGUUGCUAAGCCCCUUGUCCUGUUAUUCCCUUCAGAUCAAUUUGAAGGGGGGGAUGCUUCAUGGCUAAUCCUUGAACAUUGACCAUCUGUGUGCAUAAAGGCCUCUCCAUUGAAACACAUUGUUUGCUGUGGGAUUUUUGGAUGGUUCUGAGGUAAUUUGUAAGGAAUCAGGAAGAGCCCGCCUCUGACUUAAACACAGAGAAACCUCUGAGAAUCUUCCCAAGUUCCCCAAGGAAAACACAAUCUCAGUUUGUUUUCACAUGGUUGUAGGGAGUCCUUUCCUUGUAGAGUCUUCAAUGUCACUGUUGGUCACCUUACAGGAACAAAGAGUGUGUGGAAAGGAAGACUCCUUUCCAGUUGGUUGGAACAGAUGUUAAUUGCUGCUUCUAGGGUUCUCUGGUUUUUCUGUUGUGUCAACCACCAUGCAAUGUGAGUUAAAUACAAAGCUGUAAUUUGAACCCUUUUUUGAGGGAAAAAUUGGGCAACUCUUUAUAUAAACAGAAGCAGGAGGUGCUGGGGUGCAGAGGGAUGUGAGCUGUAAGGAGGCCUGGGUUGCUUUUCUUUUCAUUGAAAAUUGUUAGGAACGCUUGGUCUUUUAUUCCAGGUGGUGAUUGAGGUAUAUGUAUGUAGUGUGUAUGCAUGUGUGUGUAUGUAAGUGUCUGUGUAUGUUUGUAUGUGCAUGGGUGUAUGUGUGCAUGUAUGCAUGAAUGUGUGUGCUGCAUGUGUGUGUGCACAUGCGCAUGUGUGCAGUAUAUAUGUAUAUAUGUGCAUAUGCAUGUAUGUGUGUACAUGUGUGUAUGUGCACAUAUGUGUUAUGUGUGUGUAUGCAUGUAUGCAUGUAUGUAUGUGUUCAUGCACGUGUAGAUAGUUCUCAGUUUCAGGAAAGCACUGAUGGAAAUGACAUAUAUUUUUGAUUACAGUGGUCUUUGACAGGAGGAGGAAUUUUGUGUACGUAUAUGUUUACUUCAAGAGGCUAUUUACAAUUAAAAACUAUAUUCAUUUUAUUUAACAUGUAUGAGUGUUUUGUAUGUUUAUGUAUGUAUAUAUGUAUAUAUGCAUGUUGUAUGCAUGCAUGCAUCUACGUAUGUGUGUAUAUAUGUGUGUCCAUGCGUGCAUGCCUCUUGCAGGUCUAGCCUUCUCUCUUAUCAAUAUUCUUCAUCAAAACAAUUCACUGUUACCUCCUACCAUACAUUGUCAUGCCAUCACUGCUGAAGGUAGGGUUCACUUUUAAUCCCUUAUGUCUUAUAGGCUUUGUAACUGCCUGAUGCUCCAACACCCCACCAUUGUGGUACUUACAGAGAAGGAUCCUCUCUGCCUUGGCCACCCCUCCAUCCCUCUCAUCUAACCUCUGUCAGCCUCUGAGCUGUGUACUGUUCCUGUACUUUUGCCUUGUCUGGGGUGUUCUAGAAUGUGGUCCUGCAGAACGCCAACUCUUCAUAGUGUGCCCAGUGUAACUGGCUUGUGAGUAUCCUCCAUGUCCUUUCACGACUUGAUAGCUCAUUUCUUCUUAGCAGGGAUAAGAUUCACUGCCUAGAUGCAUUUAUUCCGGUUUUUGUCUAUUUACCCACGGAAAGAUAUUUUUAUCCUUUCCAAACUUGUGUUUGCAUAAUUUAUCUCUGGAUUUCUAGUCUGGUAAAUUACUUUGCUACUGCCCAUAAACCCACAUCUCCCAGAAAUAAUGAGCUGGCAUCAGUUGCUUGGGAAUAAUAACUGGAGUUGAUGUGGCACCAAGCAUCAAGUGUCCAGGUUGCUCCUGCUCUCAAGUUCUCUGCCUGAGGCGUCUGCCCGAAGGUUCCAUUUCUCCAAGGUAAUGAGAGCUGUGGACCGUGAGUGCUUCAUCCAGCCUGAGAGGUCAAAAUGCUUCCAGAAACUUGGGUGGUGGCCAUGGAGGUGGUUUUGUUGGCAAUGACAAUUUUGGUGGAGGAGGAAACUUCAGUGGUUUUGGUGGCUUUGGUGGCAGACAUGAUGGUGGUGGAUACGGUGGCAGGGGGAUGGCUAUAAUGGGUUUGGUAAUGAUGGAAGGAAGUUUGGAGGUGGCAGAAGCUAUAAUGAUUUUGGCAAUUGCAACAAGCAGUCUUCAAACUUUGGAUGAAUGAAUGAGGAAACUUUGGAGGCAGGGGGUCUGGCCCUUAAGGUGGUGGAGGCCAGUACUUUGCUAAACCAGAAAACAAGGUGGCUAUGAGGGUUGUGGUAGCAAUGGUAGCUGUGACAGUGGCAGGAGGUUCUAAUUACAGCCAGGAAGCAAAGUUUAGCAGGAGAGGAGAGCCAGAGAAGUGACAGGGAUGUCACAGGUUACAGCAGAUUUGUGAGCUCAGCCAAGCACAGUGGAAGCAGGGCCUAGCUGCUACAAAGAAGACAUGUUUUUAGACAACACUUGUGUGUGUGGGCAAAAACUCCAGGACUGUAUCUGUGACUAAUUAUAUAAUGGGUCAUCUUAGUUUCUGUCCUGUGGAAAGUGUAAAGCAUUCCAACAAAGGGUUUUACUGUAGACCUUUCCACCCGCGCUGUUGAUCGCUAAAUGUAGUAGUCUGAUCAUGAUGCUGAAUAGAUGUGCCUUUUUAAAAUUAUUAUUAAAAAUGUGCUGUGUAAAGUUAGUCUACUCUGAGGCCAUCUUGGUAAACUCCCCCAACUGUGGGAUGUUAGAAUUCCUUCAAGGUGGUGCCAAGUUCCAUUUGGAAUUUAUCUAUGGUUGCUUGAGUGGAGAAGCUAUUGUCUUAAAAAAAAAUCUUAGUGCAGUUAAACUGCUAGUUACUGUUGUAACUUAGAUGAGUUUCCCAUUGAAAGGGCCAUGCAAGCAAGGUUACAAUUUGGUUAUAAAGUAGUUCUUGGCACAUCCUGUGUAACAUCAAAAUUGAAUAUCAGAUUGAGUAUCAGAUAUAAUAACAGAUGGGAAUGUAAUUUGUGUAUCCAUCUAUUAUCAUGUGUAAUCAAUAAAUAAUUUAAUUCUCUUACAAAAAAAGACUGGAAGGAAGGGCUGCACUAUCAGAGUCCAGGGCUCAGUGGUCAUGUGAUACAACUGUCUAAAGCACUCAGGUGUGGAUAUUACCAGUCCCAUUUCAUGGUAGGGGAAACCAAGGUUCAGAAAAAUUUGUGCCUUGCAAAGAAUUGUAAUUCAGUGAAGAGUGAAGUGGAAACUGAAGGGUUCUUCGGAAAGUCGGUUGUGUGGUGUUUUGCUGGGCAAACACGUGAAGGAACUUUUCAUUAGAGUGGACACAGGUGAAAGGCUAAGACCGACUUGUGAAGGAACAUUUAGCUGAAGCAGACACAGGAGAGAGGAGGUUCUGCUAAAGCAAACACGUGAAAGGACACGUGGUGAAGGAUUCCUUGCUAAUGACACGCACGUAUUGGUCCUCCUUACAUUGUGUAGCUGAGCUGUAUUUGUCAGAAUUCCACAGAGAGAAACUCGCCAAGAACCUGUGCUGCAGUCUGUUGCCGCUUCUGAGGACUCGGGCUGAUUGGAUGCACGUGCUGAGGUGAGACCCGCUUGAGGCAAGGCAUGUGGAGGACACGUGAUGUUUGCAGGGGAUAAUUAGGACUCCACGGAGUGAUGGAGGCAGAGCUCGGCUUGCUGGUACAGCUGGCUGUGCGAUGCUUGUGGGCCUCACACCUUCCCUGGUCUUCACUUCCCUGGGAGAGGCACAGCUGAGAACUUCUCCUGCUGUCCCUCCUGCUGACUGGAGCAGAGGCUGAGGCCUGGCUGUCUCUGCUAGGUUGGGUCACUGCUGUUGCUAACCCAAUUCUAUGGAACCAGACUGCUGGUGCAUCCGCAAGGUAUUUGUGAAUGGAUCGAGCUGCCGCUGCCUGCUAACCUGUGAACUGGACUGCCAAUUUCCAGACAGCACAGACAGGUUGCUCCAAAGAACCUUUCCAAACAGGUCCACUCACCCCCAAACUCCCAGUUUCCUUUCUUUUUCACUACUUCUGGCGGGUGGUGGGUUACCAGGAAAGUUAAAGAACCAUCAUUAAAGAUAAGAUUUAAAAAAAUUAAAGUUACAGAAGACUGUCGGAGCCAGGCUGCUAAGCUAGUAUAACUCCAAAACGGUUAUAAUCCAUUUUUCUUUGGUUGCCAUAACAAUGCCCGAGACUGGGUAGUUGAUAAAGAAAAUAACUAGUUUUGUAGGUUGGGGAAAGCAAGAGCAAUAGUGUCGGUACCUAUGUGGCAUCUGCUGAGGGUCUCUUGCUGGGCCGUUAUAUAGUGGAGGGCCUUACACGGAAGGUGCUGCACAAGAGCUGCUGUAGAUCCCCCACCCAUUUACUUCGUGUGUGUGUGUGUGUGUGUGUGUGUGUGUGUGUGUGCGUGCAUGCGUGCGUGUGCAUGCACGUGCAUCAAUCUCGUGGGUACAGUCUUCAACGUCACCUGUCAUAGCAUCUUCUACAAAAGCAGAAAGAGUCACCUCUUCAAGCCUGUAUCAGUAGUUGGUACUGAUCCCUCAGGUGUCUCCUGUGGAGUCUCUCUUGUUUAGGUCAGAUAUUUGAAAUGUCGUGAACCCAAAACCAACAGUCUGUGGCCAAUCUGGGUCCAGAUGACAGCCCUCAACCCUGCCAUCCCCUCUGGGAAGAAACUUCUCUUGUGAAACCUCUUGAAGGGAUCUAAGAGUGUAGUAUCCCAACGCCACACACACGUCUGUCAAGCUCACCUUCCUUAAUUACCUCACAAUCUGAAAGGGGAGAUAUAGUUAAACCACUACGUGUCUCAGUACACACACACACACACACACAGACAGAGACGCAGACACACAUACACACAGACACACACAGACACACAGACACACACACAGACACAGACACAUAGACAGACACACAGACACACACCACAUACACACAGACACAGACACACACACAUACACACACCACAUACACACAGACACAGACACACACACAUAGACACACACACACCACAUACACACAGACACACAGACACAGACACACACACACACACACACACAGACACACACACACACCACAUACACACAGACACAGAUACACACACAGACACACAUACACACACCACAGACACACACACACAGACACAGACACACAGACACACACACAGUCACACAGACACACACACACCACAGACACACACACAGACACAGACACACACACACACACACCACAGACACACACACACACACACACCACAUACACACACACACCACAUACACACACACACACAGACACAGACACACAGACACACACACACACCACAGACACACACACAGACACACACCACAUACACACCACAUACACACACACCACAUACACACAGACACAGACACAGACACACACACACACACCACAGACACACACACAGACACACACACACACCACAGACACACACCACAGACACACACACAUAGACACACAGAGAGACAGACAUACACACACACAGACACACAGAGUGCGAGUCGUUUCACCCAGUGGUAUAAAAUACUGAGCUCAGUGUCUCCCUCCGAAGAGCGCCUUCCUUGGCUCGCUGGUUGGCCGCUGCUGCCUGAAGCCACCUCCUAUUUCCAGCCCGGGAUGGAACACAAGCAGAGUCUAGACUUGUCUUGGCAGUUCAAAAGCCAUGUGUAAUGUUUUUCUGUUUUUCCCAGACUCUGGUUUUGAGUCUUUUCCUCCUAAUUUUCUCAGUCUGCAAGAGACAGCUACAAAUGACCCAGGAAGCCUGCUGUCUGUCUAUUCAUCUAUCUAUAGAUGUAAAACAGGAAAAGGUGUUUGUUUGUUUGUUUGUUCUUCGUCCAUCUCUUUCCGUUUUCGUGCAUUUUUCCAUCAGCGUUUGGUCCGCCCGGGAAAGAGUUCAUAUUUCAUGAAGUGAGAAGGUUCCUCGCUUUAGUGUGGGUAGAAGGUGAGCCGAUGAGCUCUUCUUGGUAAAGUUCAUGGUUUUAUACCUUUGGAUCUCAGGGCUGCUGCGGAUUGAAACCUAGGCCUGCACAGAGGCAAGCUGGUCCCCUUCUCAGCCCCUUUCCUCGGGGGAUGCAUCUGUGUUGGCUUAGGAGGAAGAAGCCCUCACAGAGGUAACAUCAUCAGCUGAGCACCUUGUGCUCACAGUGAACUUUUCUGUGCCCUGCCCCUCCUCCAUGCUGAGACUUGUGACGUGAGCUCACCUUGCCUCUAAGUGUUGCUUUGGGCCAGGAUCUUUAAAAAAAAAAAUCUGUUUGUCUGUUUGCUUGUUGUUUAGUGUAUGUGUCCCACCAGACAGAGGGCCAGGAUCUUGUCAGCUUUUCUCUCCUCGGCUCCUGAUUUCUACUCCAGUACCCAGCACCCUUCCGCACUGCUCCCACACGGGAAGCACCCCCCGUCCGUAACAGUUCUCCAUACGCAUGGGUUGAUACCCACCCUCCUGAUCAUAAACGGGUGGCGGGAGUGGUUUCCAUCUGUGGGAAAGGCACCGGUUUCAAGUUGUGUUGGUUUAGAAGGGACCAGAGCUCUCUGCAUGAUAGGCUGCUCCUCUGAGUGACUGGUAAGCCUUUCUGAACCUCAGUUUCUUCUGUCUGCACCAUUGAUAAUGACGGCCAUUUUUAGCUGUCAUGGUGAGGCUAUUGCUCAGAGUCCACUUUAUUCCCAAAUGUGUCUUACAUGCGUAAGAUGGGCUGGAUGGUUGUGAGACCCUCAGAAAAGCCGCUCCUGAGAUUUUUCUCUUUCAGGGAAAGCAAAACGUCAUUACUGUAAGGCUCGAAGUGAGUCUUAACUACCAGGAGACCCCCCCCCCCCCCAAAUGAGACACGAGAACAGAGUUCUAUGCAAACGUAAGAGGUUUAUUUUUCCAGCAUGUUGGGGUUGACCCUCAAUCAGCCCCUCAUGGCGAGGGACUAGAAGGCAACCCUGAAUGGCUAUAACAAGCAGUUUUUAUAUUUUUAGGGGUACAGGUUACACCAGGAAGGUUACAGUUUAUACUUAUUGGCUAAGCAUAUUGACCUUUGAAUCUAUUGGCUAGUAAGCAUAUGACACACAUUCGAACUCUAUCUGGGACCCAGAGGGUCAGGUGACUACCAGUCAGGACAUCCUGUGGUUUUUCAAGAAUGUCCCUGCUCCUUGCUCCUCCCGAGAACUGUGGGUGGAGAAUGGAACUUGGCCUAGCCUUGACCUGAGGUGGUGGGUGUAAGGCUGACAAAAGCCCCUUAGGGUUCUUCAUUACCAUGCCAGCCAGGAGUGUAUUUCUCAUAGCCUUCUUAUAGUUCAGUACUGUGAAAAGCAAAGCCACGAGCUAACAGAAACAAGUUGCUGAAAUAAAUAUGCAUGAGGCAUUUUUCUCACCCAGAGCCCCCCUGUUCCCUCCACCAAGGUCAACAGAAUCUUCAGCUAUUCAUCUUGAACCUCAAGUGCACCUCUCCUUACCCUUCCAUGCCUUAGCAGGCCGGGAAAUCAGCCAACAGAUCCUGACCUGCCUUGACUCUGCCUAGCACACAGACUUUUCUCUCUUGUUCCUCAGCUCCUGACAGACUACAUAAGGUGGAAGACCCACCCUAAACUGGUGGCAGGCUACAUCAGACAUGAAAGGAAGCAUUGAUGUUUUGCCUGCUUGCUCUCACUCUUGCUGGCAAGUUCAUCUGUCCUGCUGCUGAGGCAUCCCUUCACUGGCAUUAGAGCCUACCUCUUUGGGCUUCUGAUGCAUACUGAACCCCAGCUGAGACACCCAUUGUUUAGAAGGAGUGGGGAUAGAAAACAAGAGAGCAAACCCACAGAGGAAUAAGAAAACUCUCUAUGAAAGUUCUGAUUCAUAAUUUUGACAUGUCUGUAGUGGCUUGGAUCUUAAAUGCCCCCCACCGCACCCAGAACCCGUAGCAACCAACAGAACAGUGAUCUUAGGGAGAAGAGUUCAGAAGGAAAUUAGUCACUGGUGGGUCAAGGGGGCCCACCACAGGGUAAACAGUUUUGUUUGACCUUAAAUUCUCUUCCAUGAUACAAGCACUAGGAGGUGGUCGUCUGGGUUACCAGGGUCCACAAAAUUAACUUUAGAUACACAGUUGGGUUGUGUUUUUGGGACCCUAGGGAUUAACAACUUGCAAAGAGAUGACCGCUCAGAAGUGGACUUUUCGUUUGGUAGCCCAUGGAGGAGGCGCUGUCCCCAUUGUAGAGUAACUCCUCUUAAAUUCCGUUUUUCUACUUUAGGAUGCUUAUCCCUCUCCAUACCCUUCUGUGCCCUACCUUCCCAUUGACUGCCACAUUCCCUCCUUCUUGUUCUGUUAUUACCAUCCCCCCCUCCCUCACAGCACCUCUGUUCUAUCCCUUUUCCCUUGAACAUGGCUCUCAAGGCUCCAUGUGAGACUAGAGACACCUAUGGGCACUUCAGGUUACUACCAUCAUUCUGCCUAAAGCUCUCCUGGUGAAGACACCAGGUACUGAGCCACAAACACAAAAAAAACCCCCAAACUGUUACCAAUGUGAAAGCUUCAUCCCUACUGGCUAGUUUUCAUGUCGAUUGGUGCUACUAUGUGUCUAAGUUAGAGUUUCACUGCUGUGAACAGACACCAUGACAAAGGCAAGUCUUAUAAAAGACAACAUUUAACUGGGGCUGGCUUACAGGUUCAGAGGUUCAGUCCAUUAUCAUCAAGGCAGGAGCAUGGCAGCAUCCAGGCAGGCAUGGUGCAGGAGGAGCUGAGAGUUCUACAUCUUCACCUGAAAGUUUCUAGUGGAAAACUCACUUCCAGGCAGCUAGGAAGAGGGUCUUAAAGCCCACACCCACAGUGACACACCUACUCUGAGGCCACACCUCCAAAUAGUGCCACACCCUGUGCUAAGCUUAUACAAACUAUCACACUAGGGAAGAAAAUCUUACCCAACUGGGAACCCAGAAAACUACAAUAGUCAAUGUCCCAGCAGUAUAGACCCACGGGCGCAACAGUGGUGUGAAUGUUCUUCGAGUAACCAAUCACUUUCUGGCGUAGAUUUGAAGCCUUUUUCACAAGACAGAACUCGGGCCAGGAAGAAUAGGGGCGAGGCUGACCUCACAGCUCCUGGGAAAGGAGGCACAAGGCUUUAGUGUAAGAUUUUUAUCCCAACUUUACGGACAAGCAAUUCUUACAUAAGCUUGUUAGAAAUGACUAUAAAUAUGAAAUGUUAACGAGAAAAAAAAAAAAAAAAAACCAAGACAAAA